rnacentral:misc_RNA from 1 species
AUUUCUACAAUGGGGAUUGGCUCUGUAAGUUUUCUUUUCUUAUUCCUCUUCUCUUCCAUUAUGUACGUAGCUUCAGAUCUGUGCUUGUUAUCUAGCUUUUGCUUCUAUCUGUUUUUGUUAUCUUGCAGUCUUGUACUAUAUAUAAUGAAGUGUAGGAUUUGCUAUUUGAUUUUAGCUCAUUUUUACUGGUCUUGGAGGUAAUUGAAAUAGAUCUGCAACUGGUUUGUGUUUCGGGUGAGUUGAAAAGUUAGAAAAUCUUGAACUUUUCCUUGGUCUUUGUUUCUUAGAUUAAGUUGCUAGUUUGAAUAUCUUUGCAUGUUUCUGCCCGGAGAAGUUGGUUUAAAUGUUGAAUUUUGAUGGGGGUUGGAUUAUCAGAUCUUUGAUUUCUUAUUUGUGUAUAAGUUAAACUGAAGGAAACAGAGUUAGGAUGCUGAGAAAAUGAAAUUAAUUUGCAGUUGCUAAACAGAAAAAUGAAGACUAGUUACCUCUAAAAAGCUAAGUAGAGGAGAGAUUUAUGGCUGCUAAAUGAGAAGUGCAGAAGCAUGCAUGUUUGUAUAAAGCCCAAGAGAAGGUUGUAAAUCUUGGAUUUUCUUAUGCUCAUACAUUGCUUUGCUAACUCACUCAAAUCUAAAAUUUUACCUUUUGCUUCUACAGUUCUCCUUUCUUGAACUUUCUUGGAUUUUCUGUUCGGUGUUACUUAAAAAAAAAAGUGCUAAUCUUUACUCUUUGAGCCAUUUAUUAGUUGCUUUUUCGGUGAUUCUGUUCAAUGUCUUUUCUUUUAAAUCAAAAGGAUUGGAUUGAGUUCACUAGCCAAAUUUAACCCAAUGAAUUGUCAAUUCCCAAUUUCCAGGUGUGUGGUUUAGAUUUAACUUGUCUCAAACCCUUUAAAAUUGAUUUUUUAUUACCUAAAAUAUAAAACUUGGUAACAAACUGUGAUGAUAAGGAGAAAUAUAAAUUUUCCUUCCUAAUAUUCAGUUUUAACAAUUAGCAUUACUGUAUAGGACCUUGAAAUGUCACUUUUGUUUGUAAGUGCUUAAAUUUUCUUGAAAUUUAAUUCUCAUUUCAGUCUUUUCCCAGAUUUUGUAUAUGACAGGAACCAGA